CCUACGGGAGGCAGCAGUGGGGAAUAUUGCACAAUGGGUGAAACCCUGAUGCAGCAACGCCGCGUGAGCGAAGAAGGCCUUCGGGUCGUAAAGCUCUGUCCUAAGGGAAGAAGCAUGACGGUACCUUAGGAGGAAGCCCCGGCUAACUAAGUGCCAGCAGCCGCGGUAAUACGUAGGGGGCGAGCGUUAUCCGGAAUAACUGGGCGUAAAGGGUGCGUAGGAGGCCGAUUAAGUCGGGGGUGAGAGGCUACGGCCCAAGCGUAGUAAGCCCUUGGAACUGAUUGGCUUGAGUGAAGGAGAGAAGAGUGGAAUUCCUAGUGUAGCGGUGAAAUGCGUAGAUAUUAGGAGGAAGAACAGUGGCGAAGGCGACUCUCUGGACUGUAACUGACGCUGAGGCACGAAAGCGUGGGGAGCAAACAGGAUUAGAUACCCUGGUAGUC
rnacentral:rRNA from 1 species